UACGGAGGGGGCUAGCGUUGUUCGGAAUUACUGGGCGUAAAGGGCUCGUAGGCGGCCAACUAAGUCGGAUGUGAAAUCCCCAGGCUCAACCUGGGAACUGCAUCCGAUACUGGAUGGCUUGAAUCCGGGAGAGGGAUGCAGAAUUCCAGGUGUAGCGGUGAAAUGCGUAGAUAUCUGGAGGAAUACCGGUGGCGAAGGCGGCAUCCUGGACCGGCAUUGACGCUGAGGAGCGAAAGCUAGGGGAGCAAAUGGG
rnacentral:rRNA from 1 species